AGUGAACGCUGGCGGUAGGCCUAACACAUGCAAGUCGAACGGCAGCACAGUAAGAGCUUGCUCUUACGGGUGGCGAGUGGCGGACGGGUGAGGAAUACAUCGGAAUCUACUUUUUCGUGGGGGAUAACGUAGGGAAACUUACGCUAAUACCGCAUACGACCUACGGGUGAAAGCAGGGGAUCUUCGGACCUUGCGCGAUUGAAUGAGCCGAUGUCGGAUUAGCUAGUUGGCGGGGUAAAGGCCCACCAAGGCGACGAUCCGUAGCUGGUCUGAGAGGAUGAUAGGCCACACUGGAACUGAGACACGGUCCAGACUCCUACGGGAGGCAGCAGUGGGGAAUAUUGGACAAUGGGCGCAAGCCUGAUCCAGCCAUACCGCGUGGGUGAAGAAGGCCUUCGGGUUGUAAAGCCCUUUUGUUGGGAAAGAAAAGCAGCAGGUUAAUACCCCGCUGUUAUGACGGUACCCAAAGAAUAAGCACCGGCUAACUUCGUG
rnacentral:rRNA from 1 species